rnacentral:rRNA from 1 species
GACGUAGGGCGCGAGCGUUGUCCGGAUUUAUUGGGCGUAAAGAGCUCGUAGGCGGCUUGUCGCGUCGACCGUGAAAACUCGCAGCUCAACUGCGAGCCUGCGGUCGAUACGGGCAGGCUAGAGUUCGGUAGGGGAGACUGGAAUUCCUGGUGUAGCGGUGAAAUGCGCAGAUAUCAGGAGGAACACCGAUGGCGAAGGCAGGUCUCUGGGCCGAUACUGACGCUGAGGAGCGAAGGCGUGGGGAGCGAACAGG